GUCAGGGUUCUCUAGUUGAGAAGCAAUCCCAUGCCUUUAGGCAUGGAGUUGUGGAUUGACGCUACCUGACCCGCCUAAGUCCUUAACUGGACUACGUUUAAGAGGAGUGUUAAAGUCUCACCUACGAAUGCUUGCCAGUUUGUAGCUCUGAAACCUUACAUAUUAAACGCCUUACGGAGAAUAAAGCAGUGUAUGUAGGAAAGUACCGCUCUUGAACUUUGGCGAUCGCUAACUUUAC
rfam:Tolypothrix campylonemoides VB511288 scaffold_4, whole genome shotgun sequence.